UCACUGGUCAUUUUUAGACUUUUAUUAAGGGGGAAAAAAAUAUAUUUUCUAUACCAGCAAUAAAGAGGUAACAGUGGAAAAGCUGCAGAUGUGAUACACAUUAAAGACUCUUUAUAGAUAGGUUCUUUUAUCAUAUUUGUCCUUUGAAGCAACUCGCAGAAAAAAUCUAUUUUUCAGCCUUCCAGUACACCAAUCACACAACAGUCAUCAUCACACACAUCAUCUUGCUCACCCCACUCAUAUCUUGAAGCCCAGAGCUCUCAUACACUCCUUGUGAGCUUCAAUUAAAUGCCCGCAGUUUUCUUCCCCCUUCUCAAUGAUGCAGGCGUCCCGCGCCUUCUUGGUCUCAGGACAGGCGCAGCACGGCUUCAGCGGCUUCUUCUCGUCCCGUGCCUCCCCGGCGCCCUUGGAGUCGCAGCUGACGGCCGCUACCGUCGACAUGGCGAGCAGCUCGCUGCUGUCACGGCCUACUGGAGACAGGGGGCCUGCAGCGAGCUUGGCUUCCGGGAGG
rnacentral:lncRNA from 1 species